rnacentral:rRNA from 1 species
UAGGGAAUCUUCCGCAAUGGGCGAAAGCCUGACGGAGCAACGCCGCGUGAGUGAUGUAGGUCUUCGGAUCGUAAAACUCUGUUAUUAGGGAAGAACAAAUGUGUAAGUAACUAUGCACAUCUUGACGGUACCUAAUCAGAAAGCCACGGCUAACUACGUGCCAGCAGCCGCGGUAAUACGUAGGUGGCAAGCGUUAUCCGGAAUUAUUGGGCGUAAAGCGCGCGUAGGCGGUUUUUUAAGUCUGAUGUGAAAGCCCACGGCUCAACCGUGGAGGGUCAUUGGAAACUGGAAAACUUGAGUGCAGAAGAGGAAAGUGGAAUUCCAUGUGUAGCGGUGAAAUGCGCAGAGAUAUGGAGGAACACCAGUGGCGAAGGCGACUUUCUGGUCUGUAACUGACGCUGAUGUGCGAAAGCGUGGGGAUCAAACAGG